rnacentral:rRNA from 1 species
UACGUAGGGUGCGAGCGUUAAUCGGAAUUACUGGGCGUAAAGGGUGCGCAGGCGGUAGAGCAAGUCGAGUGUGAAAGCCCCGGGCUUAACUUGGGAAUUGCGCUCGAAACUACUUUGCUGGAGUGUGGCAGAGGAAGGUGGAAUUCCACGUGUAGCGGUGAAAUGCGUAGAGAUGUGGAGGAACACCAAUGGCGAAGGCAGCCUUCUGGGCCAACACUGACGCUCAUGCACGAAAGCGUGGGGAGCAAACAGG